CUUGCUUUGGUCAUCAAGAGUGGACGGAAGUGACUUUCAAUCGACUUCUCCAGUAGUCACUAUGCAAAUGAGCUGUCAGAGGUGUUGGAGAGCCCUUCUGAAGUGUGCUGUGACACGGACCUCUCUUGCCCCUGCCUGGCUUGGUUUGAUCUUGUUUCCUGGCGACCUCUGGCCUGUCACCCCUUCAGAAGUGACCAAAGAGAGGAGUUUCAUCAGAGUUGCCAGUGUGCAACCCUCUGCGGACUGUACAUACCUUGCCAUGAGAGACAAGAGGAAGCUGCCCUUCCAUGCUAGCCACUAGCAAGCUGAAGAGUGACUGUGGGCAUGAGAUGAACGUGUUUGCAAAUAAUUGUGUGCACCUGUGCAUACGUGUGCACCCGUGAGUGCAUAUGAGCACGUUUGGAUACAUGAAUGUGUAUUGAAUAUACACAAGUAUGUUGUGUGUAAAUACACAUGGGCUUGUGUGUGGGAUUACACAUGCUCUCAUAAUUAUGAGCAUUCCUGUGUGUGUGCGUGCGCGCACGUGUGUGUGAGCGCAUGCUUUUAGGCUUGUGCACACAUCCAUGAACCAGUCACUGUGCCUGUGAUUCUGUGCUCCUGGAUGAAUCGAUGUGAGUCCACUCAGAAGUGCAUGCAUGUGUAACAUCCAGAGGCGAGCAAGUGGGUGGGCACUCGGAGCCUGUGUGGAACGGUGGCUUUUCAAUGUGUCCCUAGGAGUCUUGCCUAGCUAGCUGGCAAAGAAGUGUUACUUUUUUCUGGAAUUAAAUGCAAUAAAACGUGGUAUCCUUU
rnacentral:lncRNA from 1 species